UUAGUAUCAGAAAUACUUUUUGUUUUAUAAAGUGCCUAUCUAUUGACUCUUGCCAAUUCUUGUUUAAUAAUUAAAAUGGGCACCCAUUUAUUUACUAACUGGGACAUGCUUGUGUGCAGGUGUUUAUUGAUCUGGCAUGAAGGUGUUUAUUGAUCUGUCAUUGCAAAGAGCAUACUCUUGCUGUCUUCCCUGCACAUCUUUCAAACAGUGGCUGGUAUUUUCACCUAACAGUGAGACUGGUGGGAAAUGUCAGCAAUGGUGACUUUGGGGUAUAGUUUCUCCCAGUAAGGAAGGCAAAUUCUACAAAAAGAAUGAAGCACAGCAGACAAAGUGAAGCGCUGGUUUUUACAAGCCUGAGGAAGGCGAGGAAGUCUGUCUGCAAUGUCUGCUGCAUCCAUCUUAGUAGUAGCCACUCCUGGAAAUGAUAUCACUGCUCGAGCCCCCUUGCCCCUGCUUACAGGACAAGGACACCUUGCCGCAACAGGUACCAGUUAACUCAAUGAUUUUUUUACUGCUGGGAAAGUGGAGCAAAAGUUCUGUAUCCUCCCAGGAGCAAUACUGAAUAGAACCUGCUUACAGGGCAAUUGGUAGCUUCACAGCCACUCAACAAAAUAACUGGAGACUCUUCUGCUGUCACUGUCACCACAAGAAGAGAUUGGAAGACUGCGGAAACUGCUGAAGGCUAAAUAGAAAGGGACUUUUAAAUGGUAUUAUAAAAUUUUAAAAAAUGUUUUGUACGUGAUGGUAAAAGUCACAGUUAUUGUAUAAAUUCCAGAAAAUACUACAAAGGAAAGGGAUAAAAAUCAAAAUUAUCUGUUAUUCUAUCACCCAAGAUAAACCACUGCCUAUCAUUUUGGUAUAUCUAGUUUGAAGUGUGUGUGUGUGUGUGUGUGUUUGUGUGUAUCUGUGUGUGUCUGUGUGUGUAUUUUACAGAAAUGAUAUCAUAUAUUAUUUCUUAAUGAUAUACAACAGAGAUUGGAAAGCCUUUUUUGUAAAGUACUAGAUAGAGCAGAUUUUCAGCUUUGCCAGCCAUAAGGUCUCUCUUGCAAUCACUUGACUCUGCAGCUAUAGAACAAAACCAGCCAAAGACAGUAAGAAAUGAAUGGGUGUAGCUGUGUUCCAACAAAACUAUUUACAAAACUAAGUGAUGGGCAGAGUUUGUUCCAUAGCCAACGUUUGCUGUCUCCUGACAUAGGAUGUUAUUUUUUUGUAUCUCAUUAAUAUUUUCCAACACCAUUUUUAAAGAUACUGUAGUAUGCCAUUGUAUUGAUGUACGAUAAUUUUUUAGCUACUUCAUUACUGUUGAACUUUAAAGCUAUUUCAGUUUUCAUUAUUACAAAAAAC
rnacentral:lncRNA from 13 species